GUCCUCUUGGAAAAUAUAGGAGGUCUGGCCUGCCCAGUGAUUAAUUUUAAACGGCCGCGGUAUUUUGACCGUGCAAAGGUAGCAUAAUCAUUAGUCUUUUAAUAGGAGACUGGAAUGAAUGGCUUGACGAGUUAUUAGCUGUCUCAUUUUAUUUUUGAUUAAAAUUUAAUUUUUCAGUCAAAAAGCUGAAAUUUUGUUGGAAGACGAGAAGACCCUAUAGAGCUUUAUAAUUUAAUAAUUAAAUAAUUAUUGUUAAUUAUUUUUUCUUAGUUUUUAAAUUAUUUUGUUGGGGUGACAAAAAUAUAUAUUUAACUUUUUUAUUUAUUUAACAUUGAUUUAUGAGUAUUAGAUCCAUUAUUAUUGAUUGCUAGUUAAAGUUACCUUAGGGAUAACAGCGUAAUCUUCCUUUAGAGACCAUAUUCACAGGAAGGAUUGCGACCUCGAUGUUGGAUUAAGAUAAUAAUUAGGUGUAGCCGCUUAAUAGAUAGGUCUGUUCGACCUUUAAAUUCUU
rnacentral:rRNA from 1 species